rnacentral:miRNA from 1 species
AUGCAUAUCACCCGGAGGGCUUGUUAAAGUACAGAUUCCUGAGCUCCAUCCCAAUUUCUGGUUCAGUAGGCUCAGGUGGUGCCUGAGAAUUGACAUUUCUAACAAGUUCCUAGGUGAUGUUGAU